rnacentral:rRNA from 1 species
AUUGAACGCUGGCGGCAGGCCUAACACAUGCAAGUCGAGCGGCAGCGGGAAAGUAGCUUGCUACUUUUGCCGGCGAGCGGCGGACGGGUGAGUAAUGCCUGGGAAAUUGCCCAGUCGAGGGGGAUAACAGUUGGAAACGACUGCUAAUACCGCAUACGCCCUACGGGGGGAAGCAGGGGACCUUCGGGCCUUGCGCGAUUGGAUAUGCCCAGGUGGGAUUAGCUAGUUGGUGAGGUAAUGGCUCACCAAGGCGACGAUCCCUAGCUGGUCUGAGAGGAUGAUCAGCCACACUGGAAAUGAGACACGGUCCAGACUCCUACGGGAGGCAGCAGUGGGGAAUAUUGCACAAUGGGGGAAACCCUGAUGCAGCCAUGCCGCGUGUGUGAAGAAGGCCUUCGGGUUGUAAAGCACUUUCAGCGAGGAGGAAAGGUUGAUGCCUAAUACGUAUCAACUGUGACGUUACUCGCAGAAGAAGCGCCGGCUAACUCCGUGCCAGCCGCCGCCGUAA